GCUUCCGUAGCUCAGUGGAUUAGAGCGCUUGCUUGCGGAGCAAUAGGUCGCAGGUUCGAAUCCUGCCGGGAGCACCA
rnacentral:tRNA from 1 species